GUCUAUGUUUGCAAUAUCAGUAAAAUAGAAUAACAUACCCUCUUGAACAAGUCAACCUCUCAGUCAUGAUAACAUGGAGCAGUGUCUCUGUCUCCAAAAUCUCUCCUCUGUUUCCUACUAUAAAUAAGUACACACAUUUAUACCUUAGAUUUUCAAUUAGGUUAUGUUAGGACCUACCAUAACUUGGCAAAGAUACAAGUUCAUGAGCUUUAAAGGACAUAGCCUUAACUUGUUCAUUUUACAAGGGAACAUCUUCAUAAGUCUAUUGUCAAGACCUAGACAUCUUAUCUAUGUUUAACCCCUUAAGGACCAAACUUCUGGAAUAAAAGGGAAUGAUGACAUGUCACACAUGUCAUGUGUCCUUAAGGGGUUAAACUAAAACAAAGGGAC